CCCUUAGAUGUUCUCGGCCGCACACGCGCUACACUGAAGGAGGCAGCGUGUACUCCUGGAUCGAAAGAUUUGGGUAACCCGCGAAUCUCCUUCGUGCUAGGGAUUGAGGUUUGCAAUAAUCCUUCAUGAACGAGGAAUUCCCAGUAAGUGCAAGUCAUAAGCUUGCGCUGACUACGUCCCUGCCCUUUGUACACACCGCCCGUCGCUCCUACCGAGUGGGUGAUCCGGUGAACUAUUCGGACUCCGGUUAUUCCAGCAUUUGGUUUUGCUGGGGAAAGUUUCGUGAACCUUAUCACUUGGAGGAAGGAGAAGUCGUANCA
rnacentral:rRNA from 1 species